rnacentral:rRNA from 1 species
GACGAACGCUGGCGGCGUGCUUAACACAUGCAAGUCGAACGAUGAAGCCCAGCUUGCUGGGUGGAUUAGUGGCGAACGGGUGAGUAACACGUGAGUAACCUGCCCCUGACUCUGGGAUAAGCGUUGGAAACGACGUCUAAUACUGGAUAUGACUACUAGUCGCAUGGCCUGGUGGGGGAAAGAUUUUUUGGUUGGGGAUGGACUCGCGGCCUAUCAGCUUGUUGGUGAGGUAAUGGCUCACCAAGGCGACGACGGGUAGCCGGCCUGAGAGGGUGACCGGCCACACUGGGACUGAGACACGGCCCAGACUCCUACGGGAGGCAGCAGUGGGGAAUAUUGCACAAUGGGCGAAAGCCUGAUGCAGCAACGCCGCGUGAGGGAUGACGGCCUUCGGGUUGUAAACCCCUUUUAGUAGGGAAGAAGCGAAAGUGACGGUACCUGCAGAAAAAGCACCGGCUAACUACGUGCCAGCCGCCGCCGUAA